UCUACUUCCUUCCGCCCACGACUUCCACUUUGGCCCUUCCGGCAUCAGCGCUGGGGUGUCCUCAGCCCUUGGUAUCUACGGACUCUGAAUGAAGCCAGCUCCGCUCGGUGUCCACCCUACUUCUCCAACUGGUUCUCUCUUUGGAGGAGGCAAGGUGUGUCCUUUCAUUCUUCACCUACGGCGGCACUGGGACACAGGGCCGCGCACCUGGGUGCCGCCCAUCAGCCUGCCACCCACAGACCAAAGGCUCCCAGUCUCGGGACCGGAUCUGGACAGCCCUGGUGGCUUGUGACCCAGGGAAGUGUGCCCUCUGUAGUGCUCAUUCCCAAAUUCGGAUGUGUGCGCCAAGCUUGCGUCUCCCCACGGGGUCAGUCACGCUCUCUCGCCCCCUAAAGUAGGACGCGGAGCACGGCGCCGGCGAUCCUCUAGCCAGAGCCCAACCCUCCGGCUCCCCACGCCCAGACGCGCGCCCCUGUGGGGCCCCUGUGCAGCAGCUCCGCCGCUCUUUGGGAUAAAUGCUCCCGCGGUUUCCUUUCCCGGGCCAGAGCGGACCCGCCCCUCCCGGACCCGUGCACCCCUCGCUCCCGGAUCCCUCCCCGGCAGCGCCUGGAGCGACCCCGCUCGCCCCUGACCCGGAUCAGCAGGUCCAGCGCGUGGCUAUCCAGACACGUGAAGUUCUGCAACAGCUCCCACUUGUCGCGCUGGAAGUUGCGACUGGAGUCCUCGGCCGCGCGACCCUCCAGCGCCCAGAACACGCCGGUGCCCAGCGCCAGGUAAGCCAGGGCUCCUGCCUAAGUCCGUGGACCCUAGGACCAUCUUCAAGCACUCGCUGCUUCUCAGCUUCUCCCUGAGUCUUCCUACCAACCACCCUGUGUACUUAAAAGAAGAGGGACUCCAACUGACUGCCACUGGACUGUGAGCUUGGAGGCAAGAGGACCUUAGCCAGGUCCUGCCUUCUUUCCCCCCAAGUCCCUCCUCCACCCAGAAAGCAGGAAGGGCCCAGGGAGGGUAAAGAGCCUGGGUGGGUCUUCAGUUUCCCGCCCUCUCUUGGAUGUCACUGGUCCCGGGGUGUAAGCUGUGGUCCUCUGCUGCUGCGAUCCUUCCCUGGGUCUCUGGCCAGGAGCUUCCUGUCCUCCACAGCUUGGCCUCUGUAGUCCCAAGAGACCCGGCCGCUUAGGGGUCUGCUUGCUGUUGGGGUGAUGGAAGAAGUACCGGUUGGAGUUUAUGGUCUUUGGUGAGACUGGCCAUUGGCAUGGACUGGCCCAAAUCUGUCUCCUUCUGGGCUACCGCGAUGUUGCAAUUCAGCGGGAGAAAGGCCAGGCCUGGAGCGCAUGGUCCCACGGGAGGUCAGGUCUCCAUGGAGCGCCUGUCCUGGAAGGCUCCUGGGACCCGCUGGCCCUCUGGCUUCUCAGGGGGUUCUUGGAAAGGCUUUUAGGAAGACAGGGGACCAGAGGGGUCAUCAGGUCAAGGGCGUACCCUGGAGGUCAGGGGAGGUCAUGACCAGCAAAAUGGUGGGACACCCUCUUCAAAGGGUCUGGCAAGCUUUGGGAGGCAGCUGCGAGCUUCCUGUUUGCACUAAGAUGGUUCCAGCAUGUUCCCCCACCCAAGACGGCCAUUCUCAUGGACUCACUCUCCCUGGGUCUGCUCCCACGGGACAUUUUGGACACUGUGUUGGGCUGCCUGUCCAGUUGUCUAUCCUGCUAGACAGACUAAAGGCACAGGUGAGGGCAAGAAUGUUCACAGUUGUACUUCAGGACCUAGCACAUAGUGGGGGGCUUGGCAAAUAUACCUUGUGCACCCAUCCAGUGAGGCCCAAGUCAAGUUACCCUCUGUUUCCUGUCCGUCUAAGGACCCUGGGGUGGAGUAUGUGGGGAGGUCAGUGAAGAUCUGGCCACAGUGGAUGUGUUUGAGUUUUCCAGGUCACCUCUGUUACUUUCGUGGACAUAUGUUUCCUUGUCUCCCUGGAGAGCUCUGGGCCCACCCUGGCUGGGACAGGUGUGGGGUUGGGAGAGGAAGAGGAGGGAAGGAUCUCCAGAGGGCAGAUGACAUGGGCUGGGAGGCUGGAAGGGACUGCUGGGCCACUAGGGGACCUCAUGCAGAGAUGGGCAUCUUCUGAGGUCUGGGGAGCCCUUGAGGGUCAGGGGCUGCCCGGUCCUUGAGGUUGAGGCUCCUGCCGUUGAGCCAGAGCUGGGAGCACCUGUGUAGAAGCAAGGGGCCCAGGGAGAGGACCAGGGCCAGCCACGCUAGGCCCAGGAGGAUCCAGACGGCUGCCAGGCUCCGGUACACCGAGAUGUAACGCUUGCUAGGGAUCAGCAUGAAGUCCUUGGAGAUACAUGAUGGGUCCCAGAUCAGGGACUUCUGAGGACUGGAAAUACCCUUAGCUGAUAACUCCCAUCUCCUGGAUCCCAGCGGGUCCCCCAUCCUGAGAUCUGUGACUCUCAUUCUCACCGACAACGUAGUCCCCAAAGCCGAUGGUGCUUAGGGUGAUGAAGGCAAAGUAGAAGCCCUCGCCGAAGCUCCAGCCCUCCACUCGGCUGAAGGCCAUGGGCGGGAAGAUGAGAACCACCAGUGUCCCCAGGAUCAGGAACAGAGCCAGGCCCAGGACCUGCAGGAGCUGGGGAGAGGGAGUCUGGCCCUGAGUCCACCUGGAAGACUUCAGGGUUGCAUGGGUUGGGGGGAGGCCUGACCACAGUAAGUCCCCUGCAGACCUUGGGAGGGGGCUGUGUCUGGGGGUAUGUGAUCUUACCCAGGCCAGGGAAGGCUGGGUGGGCAGAGGAGGUGGGAGAGUAGGUCAAGGAGGGAUCUGAAGACCCCUUCAGGCAUGAGGACCACAGGCAAACAGGCUUCCCGGGAACUCUGAUCCAGGAUGGCACUGUUACCAAACUGUCCCAGAUCCCUCUGCACUCUUGCUCUCCAAGGGGCGCACUCUGGAGGCAUGCGGGUGGCCUAGAGCGUCCUUUGACCCCAUGAAAAGUUGGUGGAGGUCUGUGAUGACUACAGAGGUUCCCCAUCACAGAAGGACUAUUGGCCAGCUGUCAGCUCACUUCAGUGUCACGGAGAAGCCUGGCUGCUGGGCACACACUUCCUGAGAAGGCCACACCCCGUGCUGCUGGAGAUGCGAAGCCCAGCCCCUUCAGCCACUCUGCGGUCAACUCCAGUGCCCCCCGCACCCCCUACACACUGUGGAGCUGCCAGAGGCCACACCUUUGUCCAGCUGGAAUCAGAAUUUAGCUUUUCCCUCUGCCCGGUCCUGCAGCUGCCCCUUCUCUCCCACAGCCCAUCUCCAAUGACACUGCUUCUGCGAAGCCCUCCUGUCACCCUCCUCUGACUGCACAUGGCAUCCUGUGCUGUUUCGUGUCAUUUCUAAUGAUUUGUGCUGCCUUGUGCUGUAUUUAUCCUUCAUUAUUGGAUGGAGGACCAAGCCUGGAUCCAAUCCAAGUUUGUGUCCCCCCAUCACCUUCCUUGGAAAGUCAAGCGGGGGGUGGACUUAAUGGAAUGGAUGGGAAGACCUGGGAUAGGAGGGCCGGGGGGGUUUCCUGGAGGUGGGGCCAUGUGGGAUUCUGGUGGAGUGGUAUGGUAGACGCUGUCUGUGACUGGCUCUCUUGGGACACCCAGGAUGUCAACUGCGCUUUGGUGGCCAGUUCCUGUAUGCAAAUGACCUCCCAGCUCAAGUCCUUGCAUCUCUGCCCCAGGGACUUCUCUGGCCCCAGGCGUGUGCAGGGUCCAGGGCUGGGCUGGGAUGCUGGAGGUUAACACACCAGGAGAGGCUUUCUGUCAGCUGGGCCCGAGUGACCAGCCCCUUGCAGGCCUGUUCUGAGGACGGCUCUCCCUAGCCUCUCAGCAGGUCCCACGGGUGAGCCCAGCCACCCCAACCAGCAACCCUCUGACUUCCUCUUUCUCCACUUCCCUGCCCACUUCCCUGCCUGGGCUUCCUGAAUUGUCUCCCGGGUAACCACAUCCUCUUCUCAGCAUCUGCUUUUGGGGAUCUCAGACUGAGACAGGGGCCUGGGUCGGGGAGCCCUGCUGCCCCACGACCCUUUACCUAUGGUGGUGACCACUGUGCCUGCGAAGAAGAAACUGCUGCCAAAGUCCCAGUUGCUGGGGUUGGUGGAGUUGCCUUUGGGGUUCACGCCUUUCACCCAGGCUUCCAUGAUGACCUGUGGGGACAGCGUGGGCGGUCACUGUGCACCUGUGGUGGCCAGGCUCUCCACAGGGUGCUUCCCCAUUGUCCCAUUUAAUGAUAUCCUUAGAUGGCGUUGUUCCGACUUCACAGAAAAGGGAAGGUAGGCUCAGAGUGGCUGCGAUGCCCAAGGUCGCUGGAUCCCCAAGUCCAAGUGCUUAAGCACAGGUUCAGGUGGGUGUUUCUGGAAGGAUUUGCUGGGGACCACACGAAAGCCCUAGGGCUUGGGGGCGGGGUGGGACAAAAAAAGCUCUGCUCUCUGAGCUUUCAGGGGAGCUGGUGGCUUUGCUCUGGUGGCCCUCUGGUGACACAGAGAUUCUACCAGAGGCCGGCAGGAAGGUGUUGUGUGGUGCAUCGUCUGCGUAGGUACUGCAUGUCGCACGUGUGUACAUGUUGUGUGUGUGUGUGUGUGUGUGUGUGUGGUUUCUAGAACCAAAACUAGACCCAGCUCCAGCUAAGCUCCUCCACCCCUGGCCAGUCCUCUUGGAGAAAGGGGAGAGCGCCCUCCUCCCCUGCCCCAGUCCCUGUGCAUCGUCCCAGGGCAGCUCAGCCUUGACGCCAGGUAGAGUCCCCGAGUCAGGGUGGGGCCACUGUGGAGGAGCAGGGGAGCUCUGGCCUCUCGUUCCUGUGGGAACCACUUCCCACUGGCUGGGUGGACAUGCUUGGGCCAGGGUGGGGUGUCCCUGGUGGGCUGGGCCAGGGUGGACGUCCUCAGCAGCAGGCGGUCUGCUUCUUCUCAUUUUGGCAGGAGCUGGCCACUGAAGAUGUGGACUUUGGCUUCCCUCUCUUUCCCACAUGCCCAGAGAGGCCAGGGCCAAGCGUUCCUGGACACAGCCCCUCCCCAGAGACCCGAACCCCUGCAGGCAGCACUUGCCCUAGUCCUGGGUUGUCCCCUCUGCAACCAGGGCCCUCCACACCCCCCGAGGGGGUCCCUGACUUCCCUGAGGGUACUGAGUUGUGUGGGUGGGUGGCAUUUUCUUCUCUAAGAAUCCACAGGUGAUGGAGGCAGAGGCAGAGUCACUGAUUCUGGGAUCAGGGCAGGCUUGUUCCUUAUGACGUACAUAUAUAUAUAUAUUUUUUUUAUCUUUCUUUUCGUGGUACUUGGAUGGAAUCCAGAGGUGUUCUUCCAUGAAGCUAUAUUCCCAGCCCUUUUAAAAAACUUUUUAUUUGGAGACCGGAUCUCACUGUUGCCCAGGCUGACCUCAAACUUCGGAUCCUCCUCUUCAGCCUCCUGAGUAGCUGGGAUCACAGGUGUGCACCCCAUACCUGGAGUCACUUUUUAAUACUGCAGUAAAUUCUGUCCCUGGCGUGUGGUAGAGUUGAGCAGUGACUCCUGAUCUCCCAGAAUCUUACCCCUGCAUUCUCCUUCCCUGCUCAACUUCCUCUGGUAAGGGUCUCUCCCGAGGCUCAGGACUCUCAUGGACAGUGAUGUCCUGUCUUCCCUGGGGAGGCCCUGGGGGCUAAUCGGUGGUACCCUGUCCAGCUGCAGUCAGACCUAGGGCCUUCCUCCUCAUUUACAGAGUAGUCAGAGCCCAGCCACCCACCCUGCCCUCUGCCCAGCUCCUGGGCUCACUCUGGCCUGGGGCUGAGAGAGGAGGAGGUUUCUGGGUCUCCAGGGCUCUGCCUUGUGCCCUGGGUAUUGGGAACCUCCCGAACCUUACUGUCCUCUGACGUGGGUCUCCUGGAAGAGCUGGGUGUCUCGCAGCUCCACCAAGUUCUCCCAGGCCGUGAAUCCUCUUGUUGGCCAGCCGUCCUCAGUCCUGAGGGAGGCCUCGGUACCACCAGAUGGACUGCUUAACACCACCUGCGGCCCCACCCUGGAGCUCCUGCAGGUCUGGGCAGCAUUUCUCACACACUCCCAGGUGCUGCUGCUGCUGCUGCUGGUCCAGGGACCGCACUUUGAGAACUGCCACUCUGGGCUGAAGGACAAAGGCCCCUCUCUGAGUCUGAAUGUGGGCUCUAUGUCUACCAGUAACUGCAGCCUGGGUCAGCACGUGCCACCUCUCUGCGCUUCAGUCACCACACUAUAAGCUUGAGACAGUGACAGCAGCAGCAAUGACAAGAGGCCAGCUCUGGGGGUGGUGGGUUGUGAUUGGCCGGAGCCCUGCUCUUCCCACUCCAGACACAUUGUAAAUGCUCAAUAAAUGUUGGUUAUCAUUUGAUGA